rnacentral:rRNA from 1 species
AACGAACGCUGGCGGCAUGCCUAACACAUGCAAGUCGAACGAGACCUUCGGGUCUAGUUGCGCACGGGUGCGUAACGCGUGGGAACCUGCCCUUAGGUUCGGAAUAACUCCCCGAAAGGGGUGCUAAUACCGGAUAAUGUCUUCGGACCAAAGAUUUAUCGCCUUUGGAUGGGCCCGCGUUGGAUUAGCUAGUUGGUAGGGUAAAAGCGUACCAAGGCGACGAUCCAUAGCUGGUCUGAGAGGAUGAUCAGCCACACUGGGACUGAGACACGGCUCAGACUCCUACGGGAGGCAGCAGUGGGGAAUAUUGGACAAUGGGCGAAAGCCUGAUCCAGCAAUGCCGCGUGAGUGAUGAAGGCCUUAGGGUUGUAAAGCUCUUUUACCCGGGAUGAUAAUGACAGUACCGGGAGAAUAAGCUCCGGCUAACUCCGUG